AAUUGAAGAGUUUGAUCCUGGCUCAGAUUGAACGCUGGCGGCAUGGCUAAAGCAUGCAAGUCGAACGAGAACCCGCCUUCGGGCGGGGGACAGUGGCGAAAGGGCGAGGAAUACGCUCCUCAUGUGCCCCGAGGUGGGGGAUAGGUCAGGGAAACCUGGCGUAAUACCCCAUGUGCUCUCCGGAGGAAAGGUUUCGGCCGCCUCGGGAGCAGGGAGCGUCCUAUCAGGUUGUUGGUGAGGUUACGGCUCACCAAGCCGAAGACGGGUAGCGGGUGUGAGAGCAUGACCCGCCGCAUCGGGACUGAGACACUGCCCGGACUCCUACGGGAGGCUGCAGCGACGAAUCUU
rnacentral:rRNA from 1 species